UGGGGAAGAUACUGAGAAAAAACACAGUGUUGGAGAAACCCUGGAAAUGUAACCCCCACCGUAAUGACAAAGGACCCUCAUGCUGCUGUGGAAAGGAUGAGACUGUUCUGGGUGUUACUACCAAGGCACAGGCUGAUCUACAGCCGUAUUACC